GGGGGCCCCGGAGGCUGGAGCAUCCAGUCUUGCUUUCACUAUUUUAGUUUAUAGUUUCCAUUUUAAAAGCCCCAUCGUUGUUCUUCACCGGAUAAUCUCCCUCUUCCUCUUCCUCGUGUCGAUCUUUCUGCAACUUCGCUUCUGGAACGACUUUUACAUCUCUCAUGAAACUAGCGAAGAAACCCUCGACGAUGGAUUGUACAUCAUUACGCUUUCUAGUCCAUGGUGAAGCGAACGAUCUCCCUCUCCGUGCUUGCUUUGUGUAUAACAAUGGACUUAGUCUUCUCCACGAUCUGAAAAUGGGGAAGAUGAUUGGAUGUGGUAAGGUGCAUGGUGGUCUUUAUUUGCUUGAUGAUGGUUGUCUCCCUAUUGCUAUAGCAUCAACAACACAUCAUCAUCUACACUCUACUUUUGAAUUGACUUAAUGGCAUUGUCGUUUGGGACACCCACCAAUUGGGACCUUGUUUCUUUUAUUUCCGCAUUUAGUUUAAAUCAUGUACUAGGGAUGAACUCUUUUGUGAGGCCUGUACUUUGGUUAAACAGACUCGUUCUAGUUAUUUACCUUUAAAUAAAAGCUCUUCUAUUUUUCA